rnacentral:rRNA from 1 species
AUGGCCUCUCGCCGGCGUCCUAGUCCUACCACUCUAGUCUUCCUGGUGUUGCUAUACCUCUACUACGCGCCGAGCUGCGCCUUCUCGCUCUCCUUCAACCUCAACUUCUCCGACCCCAGCGCCGGUUCAUCCAUCGCCGUCGCCGGCGAUGCAUUCAUCAGUCCGUCAACGCUCGAGCUGACGAAAAACACACGUAGUACGGGUAUUCAGAACAGCGUCGGCCGGGCGUCCUACGCGCACAAAGUGCCGUUGUGGAGCAACAGCACCAGCGAGAUGGCUAGCUUCACCACCACCUUCGCCUUCCAAAUCACUCCGGACAAGGACAGCCUGCCGCUGACAGGCGAUGGGAUGGCCUUCUUCCUCGGCCAUUUCCCUUCGGUGAUCCCGCGGGACAGCUACGGCGGCAGCCUCGGCCUCCUCCUCACCAACACUAACGGGACAGGCGACGGUCGAAUCGUGGCCGUCGAGUUCGACACUUUCUUCAACACGCGAUAUGGAGAUAUCAACGGGAACCAUGUCGGCAUCGACAUCAACUCUGUCAACUCCACGGCGUCCACGAGAACGACGAGACCGGGCAAGAACCUCACGUCGCUCCAUGUUAUGGAAGCCACCAUCAAGUACCAGAAUGACUCCAAGAUGCUGGCCCUUGACCUCCUCAUCGACGAUGUCUUGUACCAGCUCAUUGCAACCGUCGAUCUGAGAAGAUACUUACCGGAGGAGGUCGCCGUGGGCUUCUCUGCGGCGACCGGCGACAUCGCCGAGUUGCACCAGAUACUGUCAUGGUCAUUCAGUUCCACUUUGCAGCUUGAAUCAAAGAAGGAAGCAGCUCCACCUGCUCAACCUCUUCCGAUUCCAAGUUUUCCAAGCACCAGCAGCAAAAACCACAAAACGUUGGUACCAAUCCUUGUAUCCGUACUAGUUCCUCUGCUUUUUUUGGUGGUCUGUGUCGCGGUGGUGCUGGGAUGGAGGCGACACAAAAAAAGAAGAGCAAAUGAGGACAGCGAAGAAGAGUGUGACGACAGAGCUGACCUCGAGAGAGGUGUGGCUGCCGGCGGCCCCAGACGGUACGUGUACCAUGAGCUGGUCGCCGCAACAAACAACUUCGCGGAGGAGGAGAAGCUCGGGCGAGGCGGCUUCGGGAGCGUUUACCGGGGUCACCUCAUACUCACACUCGCAGGCGCCGUCGGAGGUGACCAAGACCGUCGAGAGGUGGCGGUAAAGGUGCUGUCAGCAGAGUCGUCGUCGCAGGGGGAGGAAGGAGUUCGAGGCAGAGGUGAGGAUCAUCAGCAGACUCAAGCAUCGCAACCUUGUCCAAUUGUUGGGUUGGUGCGACAGCCGUAA